rnacentral:tRNA from 1 species
GGGGAUAUAGCUCAGUGGGAGAGCGCUUGUCUGGCAGACAAGAGGUCGAGGGUUCAAGUCCCUCUAUCUCCA